rnacentral:rRNA from 1 species
AUUGAACGCUGGCGGCAGGCCUAACACAUGCAAGUCGAACGAGUGGCGGACGGGUGAGUAUUGUCUGGGAAACUGCCUGAUGGAGGGGGAUAACUACUGGAAACGGUAGCUAAUACCGCAUACCAUCAGAUGUGCCCAGAUGGGAUUAUCUAGUUGGUGGGGUAACGGCUCACCAAGGCAACGAUCCCUAUCUGGUCUGAGAGGCUGACCAGCCACACUGGAACGGAGACACGGUCCAGACUCCGACGGGAGGAAGCAGUGGGGAAUAUUGCACAAUGGGCGAAAGCCUGAUGCAGCCAUGCCGCGUGUAUGAAGAAGGCCUUCGGGUUGUAAAGUACUUUCAGCGGGGAGGCGUUACCCGCAGAAGAAGCACCGGCUAACUCCGUGCCAGCAGCCGCGGUAAUUC